CACCCGCAGCUCGAGUGGUGGUCACUUUUAUUGAGCCUAAAGCGUUUGUAGCCGGUUUUGCAAAUCUUCAGAUAAAUUCCUCUGCUUAACAGAUGAUCUUCUGAAGAGACUGCGAGACUUGGGACCGGGUGAGGUUGAAGGUACUUCCGGGGUAGGGGUAAAAUCCUGUAAUCCUGGAAGGACGACCGGUGGCGAAGGCGUUCAACUAGAACGGAUCCGACGGUGAGGAACGAGGGCUAGGGUAGCAAACCGGAUUAGAUACCCGGGUAGUCCUAGCUGUAAACACUGCCCACUUGGUGUUGCCCCUCCGAUGAGGGGAGGCAGUGCCGGAGCGAAGGUGUUAAGUGGGCCGCUUGGGGAGUAUGGUCGCAAGGCUGAAACUUAAAGGAAUUGGCGGGGGAGCACCGCAACGGGAGGAGCGUGCGGUUUAAUUGGAUUCAACGCCGGAAAACUCACCGGGAGCGACCUUUGGAUGAGAGUCAGCCUGAUGAGCUUACUCGAUAGAAGGAGAGGUGGUGCAUGGCCGUCGUCAGCUCGUACCGUAGGGCGUUCACUUAAGUGUGAUAACGAGCGAGACCCCCAUCUCUAAUUGCUAACGUGCAUUCGCGUGCACGCGCACUUUAGAGGGACCGCCAGUGCUAAACUGGAGGAAGGAGGGGUCGACGGCAGGUCAGUACGCCCCGAAUCUCCCGGGCAACACGCGCGCUACAAAGGGCAGGACAAUGAGUUGCCACCUCGAAAGGGGGAGCUAAUCUCGAAACCUGUUCGUAGUUAGGAUUGAGGGCUGUAACUCGCCCUCAUGAAUGUGGAUUCCGUAGUAAUCGCGGGUCAGCAGCCCGCGGUGAAUAUGCCCCUGCUCCU
rnacentral:rRNA from 1 species